rnacentral:rRNA from 1 species
CAGUCGCCGCGGUAAUACGUAGGUGGCAAGCGUUGUCCGGAAUUAUUGGGCGUAAAGGGCUCGCAGGCGGUUUCUUAAGUCUGAUGUGAAAGCCCCCGGCUCAACCGGGGAGGGUCAUUGGAAACUGGGAAACUUGAGUGCAGAAGAGGAGGGUGGAAUUCCACGUGUAGCGGUGAAAUGCGUAGAGAUGUGGAGGAACACCAGUGGCGAAGGCGACUCUCUGGUCUGUAACUGACGCUGAGGAGCGAAAGCGUGGGGAGCGAACAGGAUUAGAUACCCCCGUAGUCCCUGUCUCUUAUAU